UACGUAGGGGGCAAGCGUUGUCCGGAUUUAUUGGGCGUAAAGAGCGUGUAGGCGGCCAGACAGGUCAGCUGUGAAAACUCGAGGCUCAACCUCGAGACGUCGGUUGAAACCGUCUGGCUAGAGUCCGGAAGAGGAGAGUGGAAUUCCCGGUGUAGCGGUGAAAUGCGCAGAUAUCGGGAAGAACACCCGUGGCGAAGGCGGCUCUCUGGGACGGUACUAACGCUGAGACGCGAAAGCGUGGGGAGCGAACAGG
rnacentral:rRNA from 1 species